CGUUCGCUCUCCUGACAACGGCUUCGAUUCGAUCGAGAGCUCUCGAAAUUGCUAGAGAGAGAAACAGAAAUCAAAUCGUAAUCAAGAAAAAUUAGAAAAUCAAAUUCUUCGAAUUUUCCUCUGUUUUUAUUUAAUUUUUUAAAAAGGAAAAUUUUCGAUCAUUUCUGUGUGGGAGGUUUAAGAUCGAGACAUUGGAUUGGAAUUAAUCGGAUUGUGAGGGUUUGGAUCUUGAAGUUUGGGGGUUUUUGUGCGAUCUGAUCGGCGGUUUUGAUUGAUCGGAAUUGGAUUGGAAACGGACGAGUUUGUUUGAAUUUGUGAGAUUUGGGAAUUUAGGGUUUGUGGAGUUUCCUUCGAAUUUGGGGGAAACGAUGAACGAUCAGUCACAGCUGAUGAAUCAAGCGCCACCGAUGAUGAGUUUGAGCCAAGCUCAAGUGAUGAGCCAGCCGCCCCCGCAGAUGAUGAGUCAGCCGCUGCAGCAGAUGAUGGCGCCGUCUUCUCAAUCCCUGGCGGUUCAGCAGCAACAGCAGCAGCAGCAGCAAUCUCAGUUGAUGAUGAUGAAGAGUCAGUCUCAGCCUAUGAUGAUGAAUCGGAACUACAAGGCUUGGCCUCAGCCGCAGCCUCAGUUCGCCGCCCAAAAGCCGCCGCCGUCAAAUGUUGGACGCAACAAUUGGAAAGGCAAGAAGGGCGGAGAUAAGAGGAGAACGGACAAGAAUGUCCCCAAUUUGCCGUUGAGUGGUCAGACAAGCGGAGGAGGUGGAGGAGGAGGAGGAGGAGGAGGAGGAGGAUACAUACCCCCGACGCUUCAUGAGUUACAGUCUCAGAAUCGAAUGAAAGCCCGGAAAUUUUACCCCAAAAAAAAGUUUAACAAUAGGUUUGCGCCUUACGCCCCAAGGAACACGACAUCGUAUAUUAUUCGUGCGAAGAAGGCCGGCGGUAUAGCCUCACUAGUUUCGCCUUAUCCGGUGACUCCGGCUGUUCUGCCCACACCCAUGUUCUCGCCUUCGCGGGAAGUCUUGGGGGAUAUGGCGAAAGAGGAGUGGGGUGUUGAUGGGUAUGGGUCGAUGAAGGGGUUGAUUCGGCUUCGGUCGCCUGGAAAUGAUGAUGAUGAGGGUGGUGGUGGAUCGAGCGAGAGUGAUGUGGAGGAGCAUGUGGAGGUGGAGAGGAGGUUGGACCAUGAUUUGAGUAGGUUCGAGAUGGUGUACCCGAAUUACAGUGGGGUUGAGUAUAACAAUGCUUUGGAGAAUAGAGUGGAUGAUCAGGAUACGCAUAUAGCUCAAUUGGAGGAGGAGAAUCUGACAUUGAAGGAGAGACUUUUCUUGAUGGAGAGGGAGUUGGCGGAUUUGAGGAGGCGGAUGCAGUUCAUUGAGAGGAGGUGCCAUGUGAUGGGGGAGGUCAAUGAAGAGGUGGUGGAAAAUGCAUUUGAAAAUGAUAGCGAUGGAGGGUCGGAUGCACCCCAUAUGGGAAUGGAGGGUGAGAACAAUCCUGAGAUGGUAGAUUAUGUAUCGAGAGAUGGAGGAAGUAGAAGUGUUGGCGCAUUGGCCGAGAAUGAAAGUGUUAGGGAUGUUGAUGUAGGUAUGGAAGAAUAUGUGCCCAAUGAAAUGAUUCUAAAGGAAAAUGAGGUGAAAGAUGAAACACGAAAUGAGUUUGUAGGUAGCGAAGAGGUUGAGGAAUUUAAGAGUGAGCUUACUCCAGAAAAAGUAACUGGAAAUAAAAAUGAGGCUGAAGAUAAGAUGGUGAAAGAUGAAGUUGAGAUCAAGAAUGAGACUGAGUUAAUGCAGGGUGAGAUGAAUGCAAAGAAGGAUGAGGAAAUGGGAAUUGCGUGCCUGGAGAAGAGCAUUGGCGACGGUGACUGAUCUGUCCCGCGUUAAUUUUGAAAUCUCUAGCAUCUUUGAAGAAGGCAAAUGUGCACUUUUGCCAAUUUUGGGAAGCAUUGAUGCCGAAAACCAAUACAAGUGGACGUCUGCUAGAGAAAAGGCUUGAUUGUUAAUUUUGAUAAGGCUGCAUCAUCGCUGUUCUUUUCAGUGCAUGCAUUACUUCAAAUUCAACAGUGCUGCUCAUUCAGCAAUGUUCUGCAAAUGGUUCUUAGGUACGAGAGCAAGAGGAUGGUUUCUCUGAGCAAAGCUCUUCGUCACUCAAAACAUCUCUGAGCAUACAGUCCUAGGCAGGAAGGAUACCUUAAGGAAGCUUGUGAAAGCUCGUGGAAUUGCUUACGUUAUGGUGAAACAACGGUCUCUUGUGAAAGAUGCUCUGUUCUUUGUUUCGCCUGCAACCUUGUUUUCUUGAUGCACGCUAUAUUUGGUGGAGAGUGCAAAUGUGAAGCUCAAAUGGACCGACUGCAGACGCGUGCUUUAUUGCUUUGCAUCCACACAUCAAAGCUGCCUUUGGUUCGGCCGAAAACUCCUUGGAGUGAGACUUCUCAUUAUCGGUAGAUUUCCCGGUGGUUCGUUUUCGUAGUUUUUCGUUCCCAUGCCACCACUUCAAUAACGUUUAUUAGGACCAAACCAGAAAAUUACUGUUUUAAUGUAAUGUAGUUAUACUGUUUGCCAGAAAAUUACAGUUUUAAUGUUAUGAAUUCGUCUUUUGUU